UGACUGUGAAUAGUUUAGUGAUAGAAGCUCCGAUGAGAAAGUGUGCAGUACUGUAAUAUAGGAUGUAACUGCUGCCUUGGUGGAGAUGUUUUUUCUGCAGGGAGCUGACCGCGAUGGUGGGAACGGCUAUGAGGUUCAUGAUGGCUACAACGACCACAGUGGAUACAUCAACCAUGGUGCAUACAACGACCAUAAUGGCUACAGCCACCACGGUGGAGGGUUCGCCGGCCAGCCCCUCGCCGCCAACUACUACCCCUACCACCUCUCCUACCUGGCUCUGGUGGUAUUCUUCUCUUCCCUCACCUUCCUCUACUGGUGGUGCAUCACCAACAGGAGAGAUUGUCUCCAUGGACGUGCAACAACCUCAGUGCCAGCAGCACGUACGCCCACCACCCCUUUGGCCCUAGACUACGUCACCGCCUCCACUUUGGACUUCAUUGA